UCAACGACCCCCCAAACCCGACACCCCGUCUUAUUCACACACCACGUCCCUCUCCUUUCGUCUCUCUCAAAGACCCAACCAUACCCAAGAACCCUAGCGCCGCCCCCUGACCCCUUCACCAGAAACCCGAAGGCAACAACGUCGCCAGCGACCAAACUAACACCCUAAAACCAUUGGACCACCCUUUAUCCAAAUCCCUUAUUAGCUAAACUCGAAUCAUUCCCCAUCGUUUCAAAUCUUCGUUUGAAGACUCGAGUUCAACCUGGACCUAACCCAACUGAUCCAAACUUACACCAAACACUCCCAUGACCUCCCUAGUAACCAAACCAUGCUUGGUUUGGUUGGAAUCUAACCCGAAAGAGUCAACCCUGAAUCGACCUCUACGAACCCUAAAAUCCAAAGCCUCGAGUCUUGUUGGAAUUAAAAGGAAUUUAUGGGUUUAACUGACCUUAGUCAAAGUAUUCUCAGUCGAAAAUACUUAAGCUAAGGUCUGUUCAACCUCAAAUUGGUCGAAUCUGAGUACGAACGGGGUUCAUCUAGUUCUCUGAGGUAAUUUUUCUUUUCUCCUUUAUUCUAUGUAUAUCUGUUUAUAUGUUUAGUAUAGUUUUUGUUUUUUCUAAUUUUUUUCAAUGAUUUUGUUUUCUUCUUCUCAAUCCAGACCUUUUAUUUGGUCGAUUUUUUCUCUUAUCCAUCGUUAAGUAGGAACUAUAAACUAUACAUUCGAUUUGAUUAACAUCGUCGAAUAAUUAAUUUUAUGAGUCCCAAGUUUUUUCCAAAGUAGUUAAUCACUUUGUUUGUAUGAUGAUUAUUUGUUAUCGAUUGUAUAUAUUGUAAUAAAUAGUCAAUUAAAUAAGUGUCAACGAUUAGUAUUGUAGGUUUGAAUGUUAAAACAAGUUGAUAGUAAUGCUUGAAUUGUGUUUGAAUCUGUUUGAAUUAAGUCCGUUCAUGUGAGGUUAAUUCAUCAUAAUGUUGAAAUUGUUCAGUCAUUCGUUUUUAAAUUGAGUUGCUUAGUCAGCCUAAAUGUCAUGAAUUAGUCAUGAACUUUUGAGCCAAGUCAGUUUGUCCAUAUGGUUAGUCCCUCUAGUUGUUAUUUGAAUUAAAAUACUAGGAUUGAGUGGGAAGCCAUGUGCUGUCAGGGCAUGCUUGGAUUUAAAAUUAAGGCUGCCCAUACACCUUUGAUUAAAAAACUAAAAAGGAAAUACAUUUGAACCAUGCUUAGUACCUUUUAGUUAAAAAAUUAGAAGCAUGUGGGCUGUCAGGGGAAUAUACUCCCAUUUGAACUUUUGAGUGGAAAUUCAAGGAAGAACAUGAGAGUAUAAUGGGGUUAAUUAACUAAGGUUUAAACAGGCUGGAAAUGGGGUUGUUUCGGGCGAAAGGCAGACAAUUUUGGAUUAUAAAUAGAGCAUGUUACUGUUUCAUUAGGGACAUAUUUAUGCAUCAGAAAUUGAGAGUUGAAGAGUGAACUUAAGCAGAGGUAUACAGAUAGAGAGAAAAAUUUCUUGUUUUUCUUUGAGUGGUCAUAAGCAGAAGUAGUUACAUUCAUCACAUCUGUUUCAUUUCUGUUGUGACUGUUUUUUCUUUUUGAGUGUUCAAAAAAUCAGAAGCUUUGUUUUCUUAUGACUGGACCUCUUUUGCUUUGGGAUUUGAGUGCAUUUGGUAUUACUGGAGUUCAUUUGGUACUGAUAUUCAUCUUUUGGAAUAUCUAAUACUCGUUUGGGUGUUGUUGAGUUGAUGUUGGUUCUGGUAGUAUUGCCAUAUACUUGGUGUUGCUGUUUGGAUUUUUCUGGAAUUGGUGUUGGUUUCUUUAAGUAUCCUGCUUGAUUUCAAAUCCUUCUUGGGUCUCUAUUGCCAUUGGUUCAUUGUUAUUUGUUGUUAAAGUUGUGUUGAUGUGUUUGUUCACUGCUGCACUACUGAUAUUCCUUUGCUUCUUUAGCAUUUUUCAAUAUCAGGUACACAACUCUUAUGCUGGUACAAUGUAGCUGAAACAACUUUGAAGCAUGAAUAAAACAAGAGCCUUAAAGCUCAAAACCACUAGCUGUAGUCUUUCCUUCUUAAGUUCUAUAUAUAUGCAUGAUUAGUUUUCAUUCUAUUGAAGUUAUGUAAUUAGUUGCAAUGUAUCAACUAGGUCCAAUUUGUAAUAAGUUAAAGUCGCAAACUCAUGUAUGCUAGUUAGACUAGGAUCAGUACUGCAGUAUGUUUUCCGCCAUUUUAGUUCGUUUCACCUGUAGUCCGUUUAAAAUGCAUGACUAAGUUCAAAUUUGUUAAGUAAUCAGUAGUUCACCUGCGUAAUUAAUUAUUUGUUCAUUCAACCCUUGCAAACAAUUUUUCUUUUCCUUAGUGUUUGAUUUUGUUUCU
rnacentral:lncRNA from 1 species